GCCGGGGUGGCGGAACUGGAAGACGCGAGGGACUUAAAAUCUCUUCUGCCCUCUCCGCGGGCUGCGGGUUCGACUCCCGUCCUCGGCACCA
rnacentral:tRNA from 1 species